rnacentral:rRNA from 1 species
CAGCCGCCGCGGUAAUACGCAGGUGGCAAGCGUUGUCCGGAUUUAUUGGGCGUAAAGCGAGCGCAGGCGGUUCCUUAAGUCUGAUGUGAGAGCCCCCGGCUCAACCGGGGAGGGUCAUUGGAAACUGGGGAACUUGAGUGCAGAAGAGGAGAGUGGAAUUCCAUGUGUAGCGGUGAAAUGCGUAGAUAUAUGGAGGAACACCAGUGGCGAAGGCGACUCUCUGGUCUGUAACUGACGCUGAGGCUCGAAAGCGUGGGUAGCAAACAGGAUUAGAUACCCGCGUAGUCCCUGUCUCUUAUAC